rnacentral:rRNA from 1 species
UAGGGAAUAUUGCUCAAUGGGGGAAACCCUGAAGCAGCAACGCCGCGUGGAGGAUGAAGGUUUUCGGAUUGUAAACUCCUUUUGUUAGAGAAGAUAAUGACGGUAUCUAACGAAUAAGCACCGGCUAACUCCGUGCCAGCAGCCGCGGUAAUACGGAGGGUGCAAGCGUUACUCGGAAUCACUGGGCGUAAAGAGCGCGUAGGCGGGAUAAUAAGUCAGAUGUGAAAUCCUAUGGCUUAACCAUAGAACUGCAUUUGAAACUAUUAUUCUAGAGUAUGGGAGAGGUAGGUGGAAUUCUUGGUGUAGGGGUAAAAUCCGUAGAGAUCAAGAGGAAUACUCAUUGCGAAGGCGACCUGCUGGAACAUAACUGACGCUGAUGCGCGAAAGCGUGGGGAGCAAACAGG